UACGUAGGUGGCAAGCGUUGUCCGGAUUUACUGGGCGUAAAGAGCGCGCAGGCGGUCGUUCAAGUCGCGUGUGAAAGCCCCCGGCUCAACUGGGGAGGGUCACGCGAUACUGAUCGACUGGAAGGCAGGAGAGGGUAGUGGAAUUCCCGGUGUAGCGGUGAAAUGCGCAGAUAUCGGGAGGAACACCAAUGGCGAAGGCAGCUCGCUGGGACGUUACUGACGCUGAGACGCGAAAGCGUGGGGAGCAAACAGG
rnacentral:rRNA from 1 species